GGUGAGGUGGCCGAGUGGUUAUGGCGCAAGUUUCAGGUACUUGUGGGUAAAACCGCGUGGGUUCGAGUCCCACCCUCAUCA
rnacentral:tRNA from 1 species